UCCGAAUUAGUGUAGGGGUUAACAUAACUCGCUUUCAAGAUGCCCUCUGUACAACAGAAUCGGUACCACGAUCCGAGUAGCCCCGGGUUCGAUUCCCGGAUUCGGAA